UGUAUUAAAACUAAUUAAACGAACAUAGCUGUCAAUUACAAAUAUAUACUGUCUGGUUUAAGGACAGGUUAAAGCAGGGGUAUGUUCUGUGGUUUAAAGGGUAGUAAGAAAAGCGAAACAAGUUUUUCAAAAUUAUUUUUGCUUAUUCAUAACUUUGAUGAAUGAAUUUUGAUCUUGCCAAAUCGUAUUUAAGAUUCAAAGAUCAUAUAUUACAAUAGAAGCCGAUCUCAUAAGUAGCACAAAUACAGAAGCCGAGGAAAGAAAAGUGUGUAAUAAAGGUAUCUUAUGUAUAAAGUGAAUUAGCCUCAGGCAUUUAAUUUAAUAAACCAAUUGUUGACAUUUGUUCAAUCAAAAUUUUUAUACCACGUCUGAUUUAGAAUGGAAGUGAUUAAAUAUGGAUAAAAAAUUUUAAGAAUAAAAAAGGAAGUUUAUAAAAUGUAGAUAUUGAAGAAAUUGUUAUAUUUCUUGAAAACAAACAGAUAAAAUUUCAGUUAACAAUAGAUAUUGAAGAAAGAAGCAUUGUUAGUUUUGUUUUAGGUUUAUUAAUGUUUAUCUCAGAAUAAGAGGGGAUAUUGAUAUAAGCAACAACAUCAAUACUACCACAUUCUAUAGCCAUUUUUGCCUCUUCUUGGAUUUCCAAGCCACUUCCCAAGCAGCUCAUAUUUGAUUAUGAACCUUUUUAUAUAAUGUAGAAUUAAAGGGUGGUACAUCUAAGGCACUAAUUAUAGUUCGUAUUUGCGUGUAUCCUAUACCAGAAUUCAUGGCAGCAGUGACAACAGAAGUAUUGAUGUCUACCUUUUUUGGUUGUUCUGGACAAGUCGAAAUAGUUUCUGUGUAGUGACACAUGUUACAUUUAAAAGACAAUUUUACUUAUAACCCCUUUUUUGUUCUUUUAUAAUGUCCAUAUCAUUAAAGAGACAUCCAAAUAAUUGGGAAUGAUUUGAUAAUUGCUUUACACUGUCUAAAAAAUGUUGCAUAUUAACAAUUCUGAGUAGUUCAAAUAUAUUUUUACCUAAAAGGAAAAUUUAAAGUUGGUACCUAUUCAAUAAAUAUCCUAAAAUAAAUAUUAUACUUUUACAAA